rnacentral:rRNA from 1 species
CCUACGGGUGGCAGCAGUCGAGAAUCUUUCACAAUGGGGGAAACCCUGAUGCUGCGACGCCGCGUGGGGGAUUGAAGUUUUCCGGUUGUAAACUCCUUGUGAUGGAGGAGCUAAUUACGGUGUCUGACGAAUAAGCAGCAGCUACCUCCGUGCCAGCAGCCGCGGUCAUACGGAGGGAGCAAGCGUUAUUCGGGAUCACUGGGCGUAAAGAGCGCGUAGGCGGGAUCGUAAGUCAGAUGUGAAAUCCGAUGGCUUAACCAUAGAACGGCACAUGAAACUGUUAGUCUAGAGUAGGGGAGAGGGAGGCGGAAUUCUCGGUGUAGGAGUAAAAUCCGUAGAGAUCGAGAGGAAUACUCGUUGCGAAGGCGAGUUGCUAGAACAUAACUGACGCUGAUGCGCGAAGGCCAGGGGAGCAAACGGGAUUAGAUACCCGAGUAGUC